rnacentral:lncRNA from 1 species
UAACAGACACUAGUAUAUAAGGUUUAGAAUUCUGUUCAAAAUCAUGGACCUAAUACAAGUAUGAUUUAUGCAAAAAAACUACAAAUCUCUAACUUCGAUUGCGUUAGAACUAAGAAGAUAUUCUAGCUAGCUACGAAACUACCACUGCAUUUUUCUUUCCCUAGUAACAGAACGCUUUCUUCCUCCUGGACCUAAACACCUUACGUGACAAAAGUACUAGUCUAGUAGAGAUAACGAGGCGAUGAUGCAGCUGACAGCAGCUCGCUGGUGCUGGUGCUGGUGUCAGAGUGCUGGAACGCCUCGGCCUGCCAAUGCGCCGCCGUGUAGUUGCUCUCCAGACUGGUGAAGUUGUCGCCGACGUCCAUGCCCAUGCCCAUGGGGUACCCGUACCCAGAUGGUAGUGUGUUGACGUAGUCGCCGCCGGUGGCGACCUCGGCGGAGUAGUGCUCAGGCGCCAGAGUGCCGUCGGCGAAGCCAGGGUAGUACCCACGUGGCAUGGCUGCGUCGCGCACCUCGUCGGUGUGCCACAUGGUAAGAUC